ACCUUGGAAUUUUUGUCAUUAGUUAUUCCCUAAUAUGUGUUAAAAGGAACAUGAACUUCCUCUUACUCAGCUUAACAAAAGAUACUAGAAACAUAUCCACAGUUAUACAAAAUAUAUUGCUCUUCACAAGGGGAGUAAUUUAUGUUUUUCUUCAUUUGCUAUAAAUUUAUGAUUUUUUUCGGCCAAGGAUCAGCAAAUGAAUGAAUUAUAAAUAAAAAUGAUGUACAUGACUAAAGUCUAGGCAUACCGAGACUGAAAAAAAAAAUAUAUAUAUUAGACUUGGAACUAUAAUGUCAGCUAAAAGAUAUGCAUAAAUGCAGUGCUUAAGUUCAAAAUUAAAUGAACUGACAAGCAAUGUGUGAUGAUAUUUUUGAGUGCCUUGCAAGCUUCACAUGCUAAUUAGACUCUUGCAAAAUUUGACAGGAGAAUCUUGAGAUCCAAUCGUUAUUGACAUAAAUGAGUGGCAAACUAGGUUCAUUUAGUGACAAUCAAUAGAUAUAUCCAUUUAGUGAGUUUUGCUUUGAUGUUGAGAUAAAUGAGUGACAAACUAGGAAAUAAAAUAAGUAGUUAGUGCUUCUAGUUGAAUCUAGGUGUACCUCCAAAAAGUGAUAAAAUAAGGAAGAACAGGUUGAGAUGGAUAAAGGAAGUCGUCGUCAUUCAGUACUGUUGAGAAGGGUUGUCUUGUAAAGUGGGAGAGACAAAAAAGUAUAAGGCAACAAGGAUUAAAGUAUCGGUGUUGGUCUGCCAUAUCGGUUGGCUAAAUUGGAGGGCAUCGUAUCGUAUCAUAGAUACGCUAAGAUAUGCUAAAGAUCAAGGAUUAAAGUAUUAGUAUCGGUUGCCAUAUCGAUCAGCUAAAUAUAAGAUACAUAUCGGAAGCUAUCGUAUUGUAUCGGAGAUACUUUAAACCAUGCAAGGCAGACAGUUCAAAGGAAGAUAUGAUAUGGCCUUUUGUGGUGGACAUGUGGAAUUGGAUGUGUAGCCAGAACUGCUAGGAACACCAAAGACAUUAACAUUAAUUAAAAGAGAUUUAUAGGCUGAUAAUCCACUGUUGAUGUUCCUAUAUAGUGUCUUAGUGUGUUAUAGCAAGUAAUAGAAGUCCUUGUAAGCCACAUUUGACCAUUUUUACCAAUUAGGGAGGCUAAGUUAUACCUGGGUAAUUCAACCUGCACGUGAAUUUGAGUACGGCUUGUUUCAAGAUUCAUUGGGGGUUGCGGUUCUAGCGAGAGUCUAAUUUUAUUGAUAUGGUCCUUGACACAUGAAUUAGCUAGUGUUGGGAUUAUGAAGAGUAGAUUCUUAACAGUGUUGGUCAUUAACCCAAGUUUGCUCCAAAUAUUGAAGCUAGGCAUCUACUGUGCAUUUUUUAGCUGUUUCUGAACUCUUCAAAUUAGUUAUACUGAUAGAGCUACAAUCCAAAUCUCUGUUUUGAGGGACACAUUUCAUCGCAAUUGAAAGACCACAGUGGAAUAGGGAAAAUGAAUAUUGGGCUUAUCAGUUCAAGUUCAUUCUCAUCUUCUGUGUAUAAUAUCAUGUAUCAAGCCAUUAACAGAAAUUCAAACUUUUACGCUUAAGCAGGGACUGUCCCUACUUGGGCAACAUGAAUCACUAAAUACUGAUUCACACUUCUGCCUCAAGUCUAAAUUGAGCUAGUUAUUACUAGUGCCUAUAAAUUACAUAAUCUGUUUGGCUAUUUUUUUGGGGCAAGGUAACCCUAUCCGUCUAACAUUCCCAUUCCCAGACACAGCUGGGCGUGAAAAUACCAAGCGCACGCAGGGUCUGCUGGGUCCUUUCACACCCAGCUGACUCUGGGCGUGGGAAAUGUUAGAUGGACAGGAUUCUUUUCUACUUUCUUUUUUUUGGGGGGGGAUGUCUGAUUACCCAUAGUUGUCCCGGCGACUAGGUGACCCAACGCGUUGUAGGGGCGCCUAGGUGACAAGGCAUUUGCCUAGGCUUCAUAGGCAUGUAGUUUAUGACAAUAUGUAAUAUAGCAAUCAUAAUUGCUUACAUUAAAACAUUGAAGCCAUAUCAAUGCAAUAUGAUAUAAUUAUGCUGGGAAUGACCUAAUAUGAGAAAGCCAACAUAUAAUAAACAAUCCGAGGAUAUAAUAUAAGCAUACUCAUAAAAAUAAUAAAAAUAAUAAAAAUCAACGUAAACUCAUGAAAUGUCAACAAGGCGUGCAGUCGCCUUGGACCCAAGAAAGAGCUUGAACACCUAGGUGAUGCCUUGACAACUAUGCUGAUUACAUUGUGUUUGUGAUUCAUAAAUAUUUGGCAUAUAUUAUUUUGCUUUUAUAUUUAAGAUGCCUUUGUUAUGAUACUAUAUAGCAUUUUGAUCGUAACCAAGAGCCACCAAUCCUUAAUUGCUAAUCCUUUUUCCUUUUUAACAUGUAAUGUACAAUGUACUUAGUAAUAUGUUUCCAGAACCUGACGAAGUACUUAUGAACUUGGUGUUGAAUGGAUUGGUUGACAUUCAGGCUACUUGACCUAACCUUCAGAGAAGAACCGAGUCAAAGGUUGGUGCUCUAUGAUCAGCUAACAAGCCUAUUACUAAGAUGUGUUGCCAUGCUUUGAUGUGGUAGCACAUUUUCUUGUUGGGCAUGCUGAUGGUAAGAAGUCAAGUCCUAUGCCACUAUGGAAUUUUUUUACAUUUUACCUGGGUGGAUUGGAUGAUAUUCAGGUGAGAUAAGACUUGCGGGGUAAAAAAAUUCUUGUUUGAGUUUUGAUAAAUUUGAGAAUCUGUUAUUAGCUUGGUUGCCACACCCCGACCCUUUCUGUUGUUCCCUUUAUUUAAUAACUUUAGGGAUCCUUCCAUACAUUCAAGUAUAGACUGAGUAAUGCAACCUGGUUAACAUAAAAGUCAGUUCAGAUGCAAACCACAGGUAGGGAUCAUAGGACAUAAUCUUAGGACCAGAAUGGUGAGAUUUUUAAUAACUUGAGAUGGACUAAUCUGAUGGCCUUGAAAACCUGGUUGAGUAGCACUAUAGAGGAGAGGAAUAAUCCUUUAAAGUUUGGCUGAGAUCCAUAUGGAUCUGGUGAUAUGGCAGUGAUCAGCAAGGUGCGAGGUUUUGACCAUACUCGGAACCAAAAUAUUCUAUCAGUUGGGAUUUCAUUGCCAAAGUCAUGCUCCAGAUGUCCUUCCCUCCUUCCUUUGUCCACUGGAUCUACUCUUGUAUCUAUUCCCCCCUUUCUCUUUUCUCUCUCUUGAAGUCUUGUCUUGUUCCAUCCAGUCGGCCACUGAUCUCCACCUCAUCUCCCCUAUCCCUAAAUGUAAAUCCCUCUGUCUCUCCCACCUGGCCUUUGCUUAUGACAUUAUGAUCUUCUCUAAAGCUGACCCCCUCUCUAUCUCUGCCAUUAUAUCCUCCCUCCACUCCUUUGAAUCCCUCUCGGGCCUCCGCAUAAACCUUCUCAAAUCUGACCUUUGCCUCUCUGGUGUCUCUGCUGAGGCCCAAUCCCAUCUCCUCGGCACCACUGGCUUCUCCUUGGGCUCUUUAUCUGUCAAAUAUCUGGGCCUCCCUCUCAUCUCCUCUAGGCUCUCUGCCCAUCAUUGCUCACCUAUGCUUGAUCUCCUUCGAAAGAGGCUCCAACUCUGGAAAGGAAAGCUUCUUUCCUAUGUUGGGCGUCUCAUUCUAAUCAAAUCUGUCCUCCAAUCUCUCUACCUCGAUUGGUCUGGGAUCUUUGUCCUUCCUUCUUCUACUAUCAAAUCCAUUGAAGGUCUCUUCUGCUUCUUCCUCUGAAAGGGUUUGACUCUUCCAAGUUUCUCCAUCCUCUGUCUUGGAAAAAGGUAUGUCUGCCCAAGACCGAAGGAGGUCUUGGUAUCAGAAGAAUCAAAGAGGUCAACUCUAUGGGCAUCCUGAAGCUCAUUUAGAAAAUUUUGUCCAAGCAGCAUAGCAUCUCUACUCCUCUCUGCUUUCUCAUAACUCCCUUUGGACUUCCCCCAUUCCUUCUAACGCUUCCUGGAUUUGGUGUAAAAUUCUUAGCCUAAGACCUCUUGCCCUUACUGCCAUCUACCACAAAAUUUUGGCCUGGACGGUUUUCAAGGAUGGUUUCGAGGCCCAAAUGGCCAGGAAAUCCUAUUUUAGGUCUUCUAAACAUAGUGCAACUCUUAGAUUGUAAAAAUUAAACACAACUAGAACUUAGUUGGUAGUAUACACUAUACACAAGAAAAUCAAUUUUUUUUCUUUUGAAAAAAAAAAAAGGAAAUAAUAAAAAUUUGCAUACUAAAAAUUAAAUCCGAUUCCGUGAAGUCAUAGAUCUGCCUUGGUGUUUGACACAUAAAAAUUUGAAGGGCACCUUGGUGUUUGACAUAAUUUAUGGGAAAAGUGAUAUGCCUUCAACUUUAAAUCUUAUGCAAAAAUUUCACAAAUGCAGCAAAUCGUCACUGUUGAUGCUUUCCACUAUUUCCCAACAACUUGUUCCACACUUUAUAGAUUGAUUUGGCAAAAACUAACAGAAAACCAAGUUUUCACAAGCCUUUCAGUCGAAAGCAGUGAAACCAAUGAAAUGAGUUGAAAUUUUAACCCAUUUUGUUUGAAGCUAUACAUUUUAUAUUAAAGUUUGCAUCUUUUCGGUUGAAACAAUAUUGAAACUACACAUAUCACCGAAGCUUCAACCAAAACCUUGCACUUUGUAUUUGUCGCAUGGAAUUUCAUUUUGACAUCUUGCGAACCAAAAUAUUUCGUGAAAUUUUGGCUAACCUUGAACAUUGGUGAUCAAAAAAUAGAAACUUUAAAACAUAAUUAGCAAUUGACGAGAAAAUCCUUAUAUAAGUGAGUAAUUGUAGGUGUUACUGAUGGAAUGGUUGCUUGUUCUCCAUCCAACCUCUUAUGGAAAAAUGGAUUCCAUUUCCUUAGUAACUGUUGAAGUGUACUGAGAGAUAAUGGGAUAAUGCUGAGUUGUAGUCUGCUUUUAGUUAGUUGCCUUUAUCGUAAUUAGACUUGGACUCUUAAUAGGUUUCCUACUAAGAGUAGUUUACUUAUAUAAUAUAAGAAGAGGGCUAGUCCAUGAUAGAAACUACUCAUUAUGAUUCUAUCGUUCUUCUUGCUCAUUCUCUCCUUCCUCCAUCCUUCCUCCAUCUUAUUGUCCUCUCUUUCUCUCUCUAGGUUCUUUUCUUCUCUUAUUUUUCAUAGAUUCUGGUUUAUUUGAUUUUGUUUCAUGGUAUCAGAGCUAUGAAGAAGUAGAAGAAAAACAAAUUAGAAAAACUCGGAUAUAAGAAUGGAAACUGAGAAAUUUGGUAACUGGACUGUGAAUCUAUUGGCACGGUAGUAAGUGACUUCAGUUCAGCAGGUUUGUGAGUACAGUACACACAGGUAGCUAAGGAAUCAGUGUUGCUGGUCAAAUAAGACUCCAGAACCUCUAUGGUAGCCUGAACCGAGGACAAAGCGAAACCCAGGAUAGAAGUCAGAUGUGAAGUGAAUGAACCAGUGAAUCAGUAUAGAUUGCCAUCGAGAUUAGAAGAGCAAGUACUGAACUGAAUCAGCAAUGGUUGUUCUUACUUGGUAGGAUGUAAAAACUCAGAAACUGACCCUAUGAACUGAA